rnacentral:rRNA from 1 species
GGGGGAAAAUUAAUAAAAUAUAAAUAAUAAAAAAAUUUUUAAUAUUGGGGGGUAUUAAAGUAUUUUUUUAAAAAAAAUAAUUUAUUUUAUAGUAUAUUAGUAUUGAAAAAGAAAUUUGAAAUAAAUGAAAAUAAAAUAAUAAAAAAGUAAUUUUUAUUUAAUGUAUCUUGUGUAUCAGAGUUUAUUAAAAAAUAUUUUUUUUAAAAAAAAAUCUUGAAUUUAAAAGAGUUAAUUAAUUAUAGAAGUUAAUGUAGAAAAAUUAUUUUAAAUAAUUAAUUUGAAAUGAAAUGUUAAUCGUUUUUAAAUAUAUCUAGUUAUUUUAGAAAAAAAUUUAAUUUUAAAUUUAAAAAAUUUUAUUUUUAAUUUAUAAAUUAAAAAUAAAAUAUUUAAAAUUAAAUAUAUUGAGGGAUAAGCUUUAAUAUAAAUAUUUAUAAUAAAUUAAAUUUUAAAUAAAAAUUUUAAAAUUUAUAUUGUUUAAAAAUUAUAAUUUAUUAUGAAAAAUUUUAUUUUUAAUAAAAUUUAAUUAAAAAAUUUAAUUUUUUAUAAAAUAAUAAUAAAAAUAAUAAAAAAAUAGAAAUAAUGAUAAAAUUAGUAUAUUAUUAAAAAAUAUAAUUUAAUUAAUUAAAAUUAAUUUAAAGGAAUUCGGCAAAAUUUUAUAUUCACUUGUUUAUCAAAAACAUGUCUUUUAGAUAAUAAUUUAAAGUCUAAUCUGCCCACUGAUAAAUAUAUUAAAGGGCUGCAGUAUAUUGACUGUACAAAGGUAGCAUAAUCAAUAGUCUUUUAAUUGAAGACUUGUAUGAAAGAUUUGAUGAAAUAUAAACUGUCUCUAUUUUAAUAAUAAAAUUUAAUUUUUUAGUUAAAAAGCUGAAAUAAAUUUAAAAGACGAGAAGACCCUAUAGAGUUUUAUAUUAAAAUUAUUUAUUAUUAUAAUAUAUAUAUAUAUAAAUUAAAAAUAAAAUUAAUAUUUUGUUGGGGUGACAAAAAAAUUAAUAUAACUUUUUUUAAAUUAAAAUAUAAAUAAGUGAAUAAUUGAUCCAUUUUUUAUGAUUAAAAGAAAAAAUUACCUUAGGGAUAACAGCGUAAUAUUUUUUUUUAGUACAAAUAAAAAAAAAAGUUUGCGACCUCGAUGUUGGAUUAAGAUAAAAUUUAAAUGCAAAAGUUUAAAAUUUUGAUCUGUUCGAUCAUUAAAAUCUUACAUGAUCUGAGUUCAAACCGGUGUAAGCCAGGUUGGUUUCUAUCUUUAAAAUAAAAAAAUAUUUUAGUACGAAAGGAUCAAAUAUUUUUAAUAAUUAAAAUUUAAUGAAUAUUAAUAAUUAAUAAUUAU